rnacentral:misc_RNA from 1 species
ACUCCAAAACAACUAGUUCUCCAAAUCCGGGAUAUGCAGACUCUAAUGGUACAAUUUCCAUUCGGAAAGCCCAGCCUCCAUAGCCUUCAACAAUUGGAGUUACCUUUGUCUCGCAGAAACUGAGGACCUCAAGCUUUCCUUUCUUAUGAAGCUGUCCCAUGAAAUCAUUUAGCUCAACCAAUCUUGGAGAUCCACUUCUCAGCUCCCCAAUAGUGGGUGCAGGGCGGAAAACAAGACCCAUUUUCCAGGGCAUGUCUGCAAGUUUGCUGCCAAAAUGAGGACAGCUGUAGAAUACAACUCCAAUUGUAUUCUUGACAAAGUUAUCCUUCUUUUCUGCUUUUGCUUGAUACAACAUCUGCUUGACAACGAGGCCG